rnacentral:rRNA from 1 species
UACGUAGGGUGCAAGCGUUAAUCGGAAUUACUGGGCGUAAAGCGUGCGCAGGCGGUGAUGUAAGACAGAUGUGAAAUCCCCGGGCUCAACCUGGGAACUGUAUUUGUGACUGCAUCGCUGGAGUGCGGCAGAGGGGGAUGGAAUUCCGCGUGUAGCAGUGAAAUGCGUAGAUAUGCGGAGGAACACCGAUGGCGAAGGCAAUCCCCUGGGCCUGCACUGACGCUCAUGCACGAAAGCGUGGGGAGCAAACAGG